GACGGAGGGUGCUAGCGUUGUUCGGAAUGACUGGGCGUAAAGGGCGCGUAGGCGGCUCGUGAAGUCGGGUGUGAAAGCCCGGGGCUCAACCCCGGAACGGCAUCCGAUACUGGCGGGCUUGAGACCGGGAGAGGAGGGUGGAAUACCCAGUGUAGAGGUGAAAUUCGUAGAUAUUGGGUGGAACACCGGUGGCGAAAGCGGCUCUCUGGCCCGGAUCUGACGCUGAGGCGCGAAAGCUAGGGGAGCAAACAGG
rnacentral:rRNA from 1 species